GUGGGGAAUAUUGCGCAAUGGGGGAAACCCUGACGCAGCAACGCCGCGUGGAGGAUGAAGGUUUUCGGAUUGUAAACUCCUUUGAUCGGGGACGAAGAAAUGACGGUACCCGAAAAACAAGCCACGGCUAACUACGUGCCAGCAGCCGCGGUAAUACGUAGGUGGCGAGCGUUGUCCGGAAUUACUGGGUGUAAAGGGCGUGUAGGCGGGAUUGUAAGUCAGAUGUGAAAUUCCAAGGCUCAACUUUGGAGCUGCAUCUGAAACUGUGAUUCUUGAGUGCUGGAGAGGAUAGUGGAAUUCCUAGUGUAGCGGUGAAAUGCGUAGAUAUUAGGAGGAACACCAGUGGCGAAGGCGGCUAUCUGGACAGUAACUGACGCUGAGGCGCGAAAGCGUGGGGAGCAAACAGGAUUAGAAACCCCGGUAGUCC
rnacentral:rRNA from 1 species